ACAGCAGUCGCCACGGUAAUACAGAGGGUGCGAGCGUUAAUCGGAUUUACUGGGCGUAAAGCGUGCGUAGGCGGCUAAUUGAGUCGGAUGUGAAAUCCCCGAGCUUAACUUGGGAAUUGCAUUCGAUACUGGUUAGCUAGAGUGUGGGAGAGGAUGGUAGAAUUCCAGGUGUAGCGGUGAAAUGCGUAGAGAUCUGGAGGAAUACCGAUGGCGAAGGCAGCCAUCUGGCCUAACACUGACGCUGAGGUACGAAAGCAUGGGGAGCAAACAGGAUUAGAUACCCCCGUAGUCCCUGUCUCUUAUAC
rnacentral:rRNA from 1 species